CGGGAGAAUUGCUAGCUUGCUAAUAAUUCUCUAGUGGCGCACGGGUGAGUAACACGUGAGUAACCUGCCCCCAAGAGUGGGAUAGCCCCGGGAAACUGGGAUUAAUACCGCAUAAAAUCGCAAGAUUAAAGCAGCAAUGCGCUUGGGGAUGGGCUCGCGUCCUAUUAGUUAGUUGGUGGGGUAACGGCUCACCAAGGCGAUGACGGGUAGCCGGUCUGAGAGGAUGUCCGGCCACACUGGAACUGAGACACGGUCCAGACACCUACGGGUGGCAGCAGUCGAGAAUCAUUCACAAUGGGGGAAACCCUGAUGGUGCGACGCCGCGUGGGGGAAUGAAGGUCUUCGGAUUGUAAACCCCUGUCAUGUGGGAGCAAAUUAAAAAGAUAGUACCACAAGAGGAAGAGACGGCUAACUCUGUGCCAGCAGCCGCGGUAAUACAGAGGUCUCAAGCGUUGUUCGGAAUCACUGGGCGUAAAGCGCGCGUAGGCGGUUUCGUAAGUCGUGUGUGAAAGGCGGGGGCUCAACCCCCGGACUGCACAUGAUACUGCGAGACUAGAGUAAUGGAGGGGGAACCGGAAUUCUCGGUGUAGCAGUGAAAUGCGUAGAUAUCGAGAGGAACACUCGUGGCGAAGGCGGGUUCCUGGACAUUAACUGACGCUGAGGCACGAAGGCCAGGGGAGCGAAAGGGAUUAGAUACCCCUGUAGUCCUGGCAGUAAACAGUGCACGCUUGGUGUGCGGGGAAUCGACCCCCUGCGUG
rnacentral:rRNA from 1 species